ensembl:rRNA 5S_rRNA 5S ribosomal RNA
GCCAGAGCCAUAUCACCCUGCAACUCACAACUGGCAACCCACUGAAGCUAAGCAGGUGUGAGCCUGGUCAGUACAUGGAUGGGAGACCUCCUGGGAAAAACUACCGUUGCUGCUGGAA